rnacentral:rRNA from 1 species
UACAGAGGGGGCAAGCGUUGUUCGGAAUUACUGGGCGUAAAGGGCGCGUAGGCGGCCUGCUAAGUCGAACGUGAAAUCCCUGGGCUCAACUCAGGAACUGCGUCCGAUACUGGUUGGCUUGAAUCCGGGAGAGGGAUGUGGAAUUCCAGGUGUAGCGGUGAAAUGCGUAGAUAUCUGGAGGAACACCGGUGGCGAAGGCGACAUCCUGGACCGGUAUUGACGCUGAGGCGCGAAAGCCAGGGGAGCAAACGGG